rnacentral:rRNA from 1 species
UACGGAGGGGGCUAGCGUUGUUCGGAAUUACUGGGCGUAAAGCGCACGUAGGCGGUUUCGCAAGUCAGGGGUGAAAGCCCGGGGCUCAACCCCGGAACUGCUUUUGAGACUGCGUCGCUUGAAUCCGGGAGAGGCGGGUGGAAGUCCGGGUGGAGAGGUGAAAUUCGUAGAUAUUCGGAAGAACACCAGUGGCGAAGGCGGCCCGCUGGACCUGUAUUGACGCUGAGGUGCGAAAGCGUGGGGAGCAAACAGG